rnacentral:tRNA from 1 species
GGGCGAUUAGCUCAGUUGGUUAGAGCGCAUGUAUCACACACAUGAGGUCGUAGGUUCAACUCCUAUAUCGCCCA